rnacentral:rRNA from 1 species
GAGUUUGAUCCUGGCUCAGAUUGAACGCUGGCGGCAUGCUUUACACAUGCAAGUCGGACGGCAGCACAGAGAAGCUUGCUUCUCGGGUGGCGAGUGGCGAACGGGUGAGUAACAUAUCGGAACGUACCGAGUAGUGGGGGAUAACUGAUCGAAAGAUCAGCUAAUACCGCAUACGUCUUGAGAGAGAAAGCAGGGGACCUUUGGGCCUUGCGCUAUUCGAGCGGCCGAUAUCUGAUUAGCUAGUUGGUGGGGUAAAGGCCUACCAAGGCGACGAUCAGUAGCGGGUCUGAGAGGAUGAUCCGCCACACUGGGACUGAGACACGGCCCAGACUCCUACGGGAGGCAGCAGUGGGGAAUUUUGGACAAUGGGCGCAAGCCUGAUCCAGCCAUGCCGCGUGUCUGAAGAAGGCCUUCGGGUUGUAAAGGACUUUUGUCAGGGAAGAAAAGGCUGUUGCUAAUACCAGCGGCUGAUGACGGUACCUGAAGAAUAAGCACCGGCUAACUACGUGCCAGCAGCCGCGGUAAUACGUAGGGUGCGAGCGUUAAUCGGAAUUACUGGGCGUAAAGCGGGCGCAGACGGUUACUUAAGCAGGAUGUGAAAUCCCCGGGCUCAACCCGGGAACUGCGUUCUGAACUGGGUGACUCGAGUGUGUCAGAGGGAGGUAGAAUUCCACGUGUAGCAGUGAAAUGCGUAGAGAUUGGAGGAAUACCGAUGGCGAAGGCAGCCUCCUGGGACAACACUGACGUUCAUGCCCGAAAGCGUGGGUAGCAAACAGGAUUAGAUACCCUGGUAGUCCACGCCCUAAACGAUGUCAAUUAGCUGUUGGGCAACUUGAUUGCUUAGUAGCGUAGCUAACGCGUGAAAUUGACCGCCUGGGGAGUACGGUCGCAAGAUUAAAACUCAAAGGAAUUGACGGGGACCCGCACAAGCGGUGGAUGAUGUGGAUUAAUUCGAUGCAACGCGAAGAACCUUACCUGGUCUUGACAUGUACGGAAUCCUCCAGAGACGGAGGAGUGCCUUCGGGAGCCGUAACACAGGUGCUGCAUGGCUGUCGUCAGCUCGUGUCGUGAGAUGUUGGGUUAAGUCCCGCAACGAGCGCAACCCUUGUCAUUAGUUGCCAUCAUUCAGUUGGGCACUCUAAUGAGACUGCCGGUGACAAGCCGGAGGAAGGUGGGGAUGACGUCAAGUCCUCAUGGCCCUUAUGACCAGGGCUUCACACGUCAUACAAUGGUCGGUACAGAGGGUAGCCAAGCCGCGAGGCGGAGCCAAUCUCACAAAACCGAUCGUAGUCCGGAUUGCACUCUGCAACUCGAGUGCAUGAAGUCGGAAUCGCUAGUAAUCGCAGGUCAGCAUACUGCGGUGAAUACGUUCCCGGGUCUUGUACACACCGCCCGUCACACCAUGGGAGUGGGGGAUACCAGAAGUAGGUAGGGUAACCGCAAGGGGUCCGCUUACCACGGUAUGCUUCAUGACUGGGGUGAAGUCGUAACAAGGUAGCCGUAGGGGAACCUGCGGCUGGAUCACC